CCCUGCACACACACACACACACACACAAAAAGGGUAAUUAAUUAUUGGCAUCUCACAUUUAACAUAACAAACUUGGACCACAUUACGAUUAUGUAGGAAGUUUUACCUGAAUGGGAUGCACCAGGAUAGCCAGAUGGUGGAUAGCCGUGAGGGGGGUAUCCUCCUUGAGGAGGGUAGCCAGCUGGUGGAUAGCCUUGAGGUGGGUAAGCUCCAGCAGGUGGAUAUCCGCCAGGAGGUGGAGGGUAUGCACCAGGAGGGUGUCCAUGACCACCAUGACUAAGACCAUGAGCAAGAUGUGAAAACAGACCCUUAUCAUCAGGCUUAUGCUUGUCCUUCCCCAUGAUUUCUCAACCAAUAAUCACUUCUGUGGAACAAACAGAAAAAAAAAUGCAUAAAUGAAUUGAUCACAUAUAAACUUAGAUCAAAAUAAUAAUGAUAAAAAAGGCACAACAUGAUAACAAGGAUCUGUAAAUGAUUCCCCCAAGGAAACAAAUCACGAAUACUGAAUAAAGUAUGAAAUUUACCAAAAACAAAAAUUCAACAAAAUUCCCAUAACAAUGAAUCAACAACUAGAACAUAAACUUGAGAAAAAAAGAAUUGAGAUCGUAAAAAACAGUCAACGCCUUUUCUUUUUUUUCUUUUAUGGAAUUUCGAAGACUAUAACACAAAGGAUCAUAGAACAGAUUACCUAUGACUAUGAGAUAAAAUUUCGAAAAAAGAAAAAAGAAAAAGAAAAAUAAAUUAGGCAGAGAAAAGAAGAGAUAUGUGUGUACCUACGGUUACAGAGCAAGUCAG
rnacentral:lncRNA from 1 species